GACGAACGCUGGCGGCGUGCUUAACACAUGCAAGUCGAACGGAAAGGCCCUGCUUUUGUGGGGUGCUCGAGUGGCGAACGGGUGAGUAACACGUGAGUAACCUGCCCUUGACUUUGGGAUAACUUCAGGAAACUGGGGCUAAUACCGGAUAGGAGCUCCUGCUGCAUGGUGGGGGUUGGAAAGUUUCGGCGGUUGGGGAUGGACUCGCGGCUUAUCAGCUUGUUGGUGGGGUAGUGGCUUACCAAGGCUUUGACGGGUAGCCGGCCUGAGAGGGUGACCGGCGACAUGGGGAAGGAUACGCGGCCCGGACUCCGGGGGGGGGAGGGAGUGGGGAAUUGGGCACAGGGGGCGGGAGCCUGAUGCAGCAACCCCGGGUGCGGGAGGGCGGCCUCCGGGUGAUAGCCCGUUUGCGCCUGGGAGGAAGGGGGGGGGACGGUAGGGGGAAAAGAAGCACCGGCAAACUACGGG
rnacentral:rRNA from 1 species